GGGCGCCGGGGUAGGCAGCGAACAGCUUUCAGAGAAGAGGACCGAGACCGGCUUGCACAGCUGAGAGCUGCCAGUAUAGCUGAGAUGCAGACAGCUUUACAACACCUGAGCCAGGAGGAGAGAGAUUAUAUUCUCGAGAGUGGUGACCCGUCUUCCAGGGGUGAUACUGGAUAUCCUGGAGUUUCGGCAAGAGACGCCAGGACACCAUCUUCCUGACUGAGGGCACCCUAACCCAAAGAUCCAAACCGUUUAUCUACAACUACAGUAGUUCCAAAACAGCACAAUACCUCAAAAUAACUUUAGCUGAAGACAGCAUUUUCACCCAAAAAUAAACAGUUUGUGCAAUAUAUUUAUUUUUAUUUAUGUACAAAAAAGUUCUGUUAUUAGCAUUUGUACAUAGUAUUUUUUCUUAAUUUCUAAUAAAUCUGUGUGCAUGAAAGAAGUAAUUCCUGUCUUUUGAUGCUUCACGUAGCUGGGGCCUUUAUGGAGAGAGGAAAACAGCAGCAUUAGAUCAUACAUGGAUUACAUGAGAAUGCAAUUCUGGAAACUCUCCAGUUCUGAAGUUGACCUGUAAAAAAAACAAAAGCUACAACUUUAUAGAUUAUUAGGAAUCACACUUUUGAUUGCCUUUUCACCCACAAUUGUCAUUUCUAUAUGUAAAUUGUCAGCUUUGAUAUUGACACUUUAGCUUUUUUGCUUAUGAAAAUGUUAUUAAUAUACCUAAAGGUCAGAUUGGUGACAUCCUUCAACCAGCGUCUGUUGAACAUGAUUCGUUGAAAAGCCUCGUGUGGUGGAGAUCCUGGCACCAUGCCACGUUGCAUCAAGUGGUCCAUGGUCACAUUUGCCACGGGUCCAUUCAUUCUUCCCUGUGACAUGGUGAAGCACACCCACCCACAUGUCCUAACAGAAAAAAUAAGUUUUAUUUGAAAACUUUACAUGUGACAGAAGCGCUCACCAACAGAAACACGAGAGCUGGCACUAUUAUGAAAAGAAAGGUAAUUAUGUCAAUGUGCAUUGUUGUCUUGUUGUCCAAAAAAUGUCACAAUACUUACAUUAAACAUAUCACGAUGUUGUGCUUUCUGGCAAAUGUACCAAAAUUGGUUGAAGAUGUCAUUCAGCCACACAAGUAGGAUGGAAAUUCCCUUUAGGAUCCCAGCCUGUGAACAAGGAUAAAACAACAAUUCCAUCUUUUAGUUCUUUUUAAAACAUAGAAGGGUUUUAUUUACCUGCAACGUUUUGUUUGCGGCUGCAAACUUUGUCAGCCUGACAAAGUUUUCGUAACAGUUCUAUUCUGUUAUGAAAACAAUAAAUAAAAGUAGAAUUAAUAUAUUGUUUUUAGACUUUGGAGUUUAAAAAAAGAGUGUAGAUAAGAAUAGGGCUGGGCUAUAUGGCCUCAAAUCUAUAUUGCGAUAUAAUCUGAAGCAUGUGCAGUAACGAUAUACAUUGCGAUAUAUUUUUUCAUCUGUUUAUAGAUGUCAAAUUGACAUGCUUUUACAUAUCCUCAUGUGGCAAAUAUAUGCCACUUGAGGCAUAUAGGCCUCCUCCUCCGCCCACUCCAUGGCUGUGUCUCAAUUCAGGGUCUGCAUCCUACGUCGGCCGGAUUCGUCGGCCGGUUACGUCACAGCGCCGCGACUAGGCCUGUCCCAAUUCGAAGACUCCUUCAAAUGCGGUCGACGAAUGCGGCCUUCUUUUCGCCUGAAUGAAGGAUGGGUCGGGUGUAUCCUUCAAUAGGUAGCAUUUCCCAAGAUGCCUUGCAGGCUGGCCGGCAGAAAAACUUAAAAACAAUGGCGGACAGUGAAGCGGGAGCUGUCGGAGAGGAUUGCGCAUAUAAAUGAACAAAAGAGAAAACCAGGGAAUUUAUUAAGCUUAGGGUGGAGAUGGACCACAUGAUCACCGGAGCAAAGUAUUCGGCGGCUGUGGCAUGGAGACUAUUCUGGAGAAAAUGGGCAUCCAGGGGAAGGUGCCAGCGAUGACCAGCUUCUGGAGCUGAUCUGGGAGGACAUGAGGCUGCAGAGGAAACAGGAGAGAAGGGAGAACUUUGACAGCUUUUUACUUUGCUAGAAAAAAAUGGUUAAUAAAGAUUAAACAUGUACAUAUAAAAGAAAUAUCUAAAUAAAAUCAGUUCUGCAUUAAACUC